UUUUAUCAAUAGUGUUAUCAACUAGUCCUUUACCAGUUAAAUGGAUAAUUUGAUAAUCAUGUAAUAAGGCCUCUAGAUUUUCACGAAUUGUUUCAUUGAGUUUCUUACUACCAAGACUACCACCCAUGACGAGUAAGACCUUUUUAUCUGUGUUAAAACCGGUUAAUUGAUAACC
rfam:Staphylococcus capitis strain CR03 genome assembly, contig: BN1517_Contig_1